rnacentral:rRNA from 1 species
AGAAUCAACGCUGGCGGCGUGCCUAACACAUGCAAGUCGAACGAGAAAGGGGAGCAAUCCCUGAGUAAAGUGGCGACCGGGUGAGUAACACGUGACUAACCUACCUUCGAGUGGGGGAUAACUCCGGGAAACCGGGGCUAAUACCGCAUAACAUCCUCGGAUCGGAAGAACUGGGGAUCAAAGGAGCAAUUCGCUUGAAGAGGGAGUCGCGGCUGAUUAGCUUGUUGGCGGGGUAAUGGCCCACCAAGGCGAUGAUCGGUAUCCGGCCUGAGAGGGCGCACGGACACACUGGAACUGAAACACGGUCCAGACUCCUACGGGAGGCAGCAGUGGGGAAUUUUGCGCAAUGGGGGAAACCCUGACGCAGCAACGCCGCGUGGAGGAUGAGGUCCCUUGGGACGUAAACUCCUUUCGACCGGGACGAUAAUGACGGUACCGGUGGAAGAAGCCCCGGCUAACUUCGCGCCAGCAGCCGC